rnacentral:rRNA from 1 species
CUACGGGCCGCAGCAGUCGAGAAUCUUCCGCAAUGGACGAAAGUCUGACGGAGCGACGCCGCGUGCGGGAUGAAGGCCUUCGGGUUGUAAACCGCUGUCAGUGGGGAGGAAAUGCAUCAGGGUUCUCCCCGGUGUUUGACCGAUCCGCAGAGGAAGCGCAGGCUAAGUUCGUGCCAGCAGGCCGCGGUAACACGAACUGCGCGAACGUUAUUCGGAAUCACUGGGCUUAAAGAGUUCGUAGGCGGCCUUUCAAGUCGGGUGUGAAAUCCCUCGGCUCAACCGAGGAAUUGCGCCUGAUACUGUUGGGCUUGAGGGGGAUAGGGGUGAGCGGAACUGAUGGUGGAUCGGUGAAAUGCGUUGAUAUCAUCAGGAACACCGGUGGCGAAGGCGGCUCACUGGAUCUCUUCUGACGCUGAGGAACGAAAGCUAGGGGAGCGAACGGGAUUAGAUACCCCUGUAGUC